rnacentral:rRNA from 1 species
UACACACCGCCCGUCACACCAUGGGAGUUGGUUUUACCCGAAGACGGUGCGCUAACCUCGCAGGAGGAGGCAGCCGGCCACGGUAGGGUCAGCGACUGGGGUG